UGAGUAACCUGCCCUAGGCUUUGGGAUAACCCUCGGAAACGGGGGCUAAUACCGGAUAUUCCCGCGGGAUCGCAUGGUUUUGUGGGGAAAGAUUUAUUGGUCUGGGAUGGGCUCGCGGCCUAUCAGCUUGUUGGUGGGGUAGUGGCCUACCAAGGCGACGACGGGUAGCCGGCCUGAGAGGGUGACCGGCCACACUGGGACUGAGACACGGCCCAGACUCCUACGGGAGGCAG
rnacentral:rRNA from 1 species